UACAUGGGGGUGCAAACGUUGCUCGGAAUCAUUGGGCGUAAAGCGCGCGUAGGCGGUUACUUAUGUCGGAUGUGAAAGCCCUCGGCUUAACUGAGGAAGUGCAUUCGAAACUGGGUAGCUAGAGUACUAAAGAGGGUCGCGGAAUUCCCGGUGUAGAGGUGAAAUUCGUAGAUAUCGGGAGGAACACCGGUGGCGAAGGCGGCGACCUGGGUAGAUACUGACGCUGAGGCGCGAAAAGCGUGGGGAGCAAACAGG
rnacentral:rRNA from 1 species